rnacentral:rRNA from 1 species
AACGAACGCUGGCGGCAGGCUUAACACAUGCCAGUCGAACGGAUCCUUCGGGAUUAGUGGCAGACGGGUGAGUAACGCGUGGGAACGUACCCUUUGCUACGGAAUACCUCAGUGAAACUUGAGCUAAUACCGUAUGUGCCCUACGGGGGAAAGAUUUAUCGGCAAAGGAUCGGCCCGCGUUGGAUUAGCCAGUUGGUGGGGUAAUGGCCUACCAAGGCGACGCUCCAUAGCUGGUCAGAGAGGAUGAGCAGCCACACUGGGACUGAGACACGGCCCAGACUCCUACGGGAGGCAGCAGUGGGGAAUAUUGGACAAUGGGCGCAAGCCUGAUCCAGCCAGGCCGCGUGAGUGAUGAAGGUCUGAGGAUUGUAAAGCUCUUCCACCGGUGAAGAUAAUGACGGUAGCCGGAGAAGAAGCCCCGGCUAACUUCGUG